rnacentral:rRNA from 1 species
UACGAAGGGGGCUAGCGUUGCUCGGAAUCACUGGGCGUAAAGGGUGCGUAGGCGGGUCUUUAAGUCAGGGUGAAAUCCUGGAGCUCAACUCCAGAACUGCCUUUGAUACUGAAGAUCUUGAGUUCGGGAGAGGUGAGUGGAACUGCGAGUGUAGAGGUGAAAUUCGUAGAUAUUCGCAAGAACACCAGUGGCGAAGGCGGCUCACUGGCCCGAUACUGACGCUGAGGCACGAAAGCGUGGGAGCAAACAGG